rnacentral:siRNA from 1 species
UUGAUUGUUAAUUUAAGAGUUUC